CUCAUGCCCUUUAUGACCAGGGCUACACACGUACUACAAUGGCCGGUACAAAGGGCAGCGACACAGCGAUGUGAAGCCAAUCCCGAAAAGCCGGUCUCAGUCCGGAUUGGAGUCUGCAACUCGACUCCAUGAAGUUGGAAUCGCUAGUAAUCGCGGAUCAGCACGCCGCGGUGAAUACGUUCCCGGGCCUU
rnacentral:rRNA from 1 species